rnacentral:lncRNA from 1 species
GUUUUAUACUCCUUUCAACCAUAGGCAGCAAUGGAAAUAGAAUUUUCUUAAGGACAGCAGAAUAUUUGGGGUGAUCCAAGAAAGGAAGAGGAGGAUUUGAGCAGAGCUGUUCUGGAGGAGCAUGUGGACCUAAAGGAACUGAAAUUGUUUGUCUUCAUUAUCUGGUAGACCUGCUCAAGCCUGUAGCCCCCGACAGAAACCACAAAACUCUACAAACUGGCAACUGUGGGUUUGUCUGUUCUGUAUUGAUUCUAUUUCUGGAAGAAAAAAAAAAGCAUGAAGACCAAUGUGUGAGUCAUGUGACUGUACAAGUGAACAAACGAGCCAGCAGAAGGGGCUGACCGAGACCUUUCACAGCCAGGAACUGACUGGGGAACUGGGCUUGUACCGCCUGCCAUUUGGCUGAUGCUGAGAAGAGGCAAGAAAGGGGUUUCAUUCCCUUAAGAUAAUUCAAACGAGUCAAUCUGCUGACCCAUCAAUUUGCUUCCGUGUUUUUGGUUUUUUUAAAGACCAAGGUAUAUAUUCCUUCUCUCCCCCCUGCUAUAUAUCUGACUGUUUUGGAACAAGCAGAAUUGUUCCAGUU